AGUCGUGCGGCAGCAUGCAUUUCACUAAGAUCCGGAAGAUUUCGGGGUUUUGGUGAAAUGUGAUGGCGAGCGGCGGACGGGUGAGUAACGCGUAGGAAUGUACCCCAAAGUGAGGGAUAAGCUCAAGAAAUUGAGUCUAAUACCGCAUAUGGUCUUCGGAUUAAAGCUUCGGCGCUUUGGGAACAGCCUGCGUAAGAUUAGCUAGUUGGUGAGGUAAUGGCUCACCAAGGCGACGAUCUUUAGCUGUUCUGAGAGGAUGAUCAGCCACACUGGAACUGAGACACGGUCCAGACUCCUACGGGAGGCAGCAGUAAGGAAUCUUCCACAAUGGGGGCAACCCUGAUGGAGCAACGCCGCGUGCAGGAUGAAGGCUUUCGAGUCGUAAACUGCUUUUAUUAGUGAGGAAUAUGACGGUAACUAAUGAAUAAGGGUCUGCUAACUACGUGCCAGCAGCCGCGGUCAUACGUGGGACCCAAGCGUUAUCCGGAUUGACUGGGCGUAAAGCGUUGCGUAGGCGGUUUGUUAAGCGAAUAGUGAAACCUUGUGGCUCAACCAUAUAGACUAUUACUUGAACUGGCAAACUAGAGAACAGUAGAGGUACCUGGAAUUUCUAGUGUAGGGGUAAUAUCCGUAGAUACUAGAAGGAACACCAAUGGCGUAGGCAGGGUACUGGGCUGUUUCUGACGCUGAGGCACGAAAGCGUGGGGAGCGAACGGGAUUAGAUACCCCGGUAGUCCACGCCGUAAACGAUGGAUGCUAGUAGUGUGCCGUAUCGACCCGGUGCGUUACGAAGUUAACGCGUUAAGCAUCCCGCCUGAGUAGUACGAUCGCAAGAUUAAAACUCAAAGGAAUUGACGGGGACCCGCACAAGCGGNGGAGCGUGUUGUUUAAUCGGAUGGNUAAGCCUANANNCNUACCAGGGUUUGACAUCCUUGGAAUUUCUCCNAAAGGA
rnacentral:rRNA from 1 species